rnacentral:lncRNA from 1 species
AAAAUGACAAAUACAAGCAUACGCCCAGGUCUGACGCUUCCGCUGGCACAGAUCUUGGCGCCCGUAAACGGGUGAUUCUUUGCCGGUAGGUCCCGAGGACGGUAAAUUAGAAUUUUCGUCGUUUUUUAUUACUACUGCUCCCUCCGUCGAAGGAUGUAGUGUGUGGUCGCUGUGAUGCGUGUUUAGCAUUUCUAUCGUAAAGUUUUUUUUUCUUUUUUGCUUCUCUGUCAAAGGCAUGUAUUGGUGCUAAACGGGCUUAAAUGGUGCUAAACGAGUUUGUUUCAUUUGUUUUCAU